rnacentral:rRNA from 1 species
AUUGAACGCUGGCGGCAGGCUUAACACAUGCAAGUCGAACGAGUGGCGGACGGGUGAGUAAUGCUUGGGAAUCUAGCUUAUGGAGGGGGAUAACUACGGGAAACUGUAGCUAAUACCGCGUACCAUAGGAUGAGCACAAGUGGGAUUAGGUAGUUGGUGAGGUAAAGGCUCACCAAGCCGACGAUCGCUAGCUGGUCUGAGAGGAUGACCAGCUACAACGGGACGGAGACACGGCCCAGACGCCUACGAGAGGCAGCAGUGGUGAAUAUUGGGCAAUGGGGGCAACCUGACGCAGCCAUGCCGCGGGAAUGAAGAAGGCCUUCGGGUUGUAAAGUUCUUUCGUUAGCGAGGCGUUAACUACAGAAGAAGCACCGGCUAACUCCGUGCCAGCCGCCGCGGUAAUAC